rnacentral:rRNA from 1 species
CUCGAGGCCAGAUCUUUCCGGUUGAUCCUGCCGGACCUGACUGCUAUCGGAUUGAUACUAAGCCAUGCGAGUCAUUGUAGUAAUACAAGGCAGACGGCUCAGUAACGCGUAGUCAACCUAACCUAUGGACGGGAAUAACCUCGGGAAACUGAGAAUAAUGCCCGAUAGAACAUUAUGCCUGGAAUGGUUUAUGUUCCAAAUGAUUUAUCGCCGUAGGAUGGGACUGCGGCCUAUCAGUUUGUUGGUGAGGUAAUGGCCCACCAAGACUAUUACAGGUACGGGCUCUGAGAGGAGUGGCCCGGAGAUGGGUACUGAGACACGGACCCAGGCCCUAUGGGGCGCAGCAGGCGAGAAAACUUUGCAAUGUGCGAAAGCACGACAAGGUUAAUCCGAGUGGUUUCUGCUAAAGGAACCUUUUGUCGGUCCUAGAAACACCGAUGAAUAAGGGGUGGGCAAGUUCUGGUGUCAGCCGCCGCGGUAAAACCAGCACCUCAAGUGGUCAGGAUGAUUAUUGGGCCUAAAGCAUCCGUAGCCGGCUCUAUAAGUUUUCGGUUAAA